rnacentral:lncRNA from 1 species
AUUAAAAUAAGUGAACACAAAACCAUGAAAUGUAUUAGAAUUAAACCAACACAACAAAAAUGACUCGUCUUUUGGGGAGUCUUUGUUAAGUUAAUUAAAAUAAAUUAAGGUUAGAGAUAAAUGAAGUUAGUCAAACAUAAUCAAAAUAAUUAGGAGAGUAAAAGAGAAUGAAAUUGGGCCCCUUUUGGGCCAAUUUCGCUAUAAAGUUUUAGGUUUUAACCCAAUCCCGUUUUCGUAUAUACCGACUGUAUAUCAGUGUAUAUGAGCGCAUAUAUCCGCUCUUUUCAUGUAUCGCUUGCUUCCAAACACCUGUGUUUCGCCUCCGCCCUGUGUUUUUUCGUUUUGGACCUGUAUAUUAGUGUAUACUUGUGUAUACAACAUGUAUACGACCCAUUUUUAGGCUCUAAAUAUCCGUAUUUCUGUUUUCCAGCCUUGUGCUUCAGUUUUCUUUGCCCGGCUGACUCAGACCAUAAAAAAACAAAUAAAUCGAGCCUUUAUGGCUCAACUCGAGGAUGCUAGGAA